UACGUAGGGUGCAAGCGUUGUCCGGAAUUAUUGGGCGUAAAGAGCGUGUAGGCGGUUCGGUAAGUCGGCUGUGAAAGUCCGGGGCUCAACCCUGGGAUGCCGGUCGAUACUGCCGGACUAGAGUUCGGAAGAGGCGAGUGGAAUUCCCGGUGUAGCGGUGAAAUGCGCAGAUAUCGGGAGGAACACCUAUGGGCGAAGGCAGCUCGC
rnacentral:rRNA from 1 species